CCCACCCCACCUCCCUGCCCAGGUGCACCAGAGUUCCUGGGAGUGGCUAGAGCACCCUGUGUCUUAAAACCUCCCAGGUGAUUCUAAAGUGCAGCUUCUGCUGCCGACACUGACAGUUUAGACCUCAGAGUUCAGGGAUCCCAAGAGCAUCUGUCUCUGGUGGGAAACAGUGGCACAGACAGCCUGCUUUCUACCCCCUACCUACCAACCACACUUAGACUAGUGGGCAAAUGAGGCUGCAUUCCACCCCUAGCUAAAAAAGGGUGCGGAGAUUAGGGGGCCGGUGGAGAACAAUACGAAACUUUGUAGGGGCCGGGAAGGCUAUACUGUGUUGGAUAGCAUCCCCCCAAAUUCACGUCUUUCCCAGAGCCUCAGAACGUGGCCUUAUUUGGAAAUAGAGUCACUCUAGGUAUAAUUAGUUAAGACACAAGAGUGGUGUGGGUCCUUCCUCCGAUCUGACUGCUGUCCUUAUGAGACGAGGGAGAGAGUACACGUGAAGACAGAGGUGCAGGCCCAAGCAGAGCAGGAGCUGGAGGAGGUCUGGGACAGGCUCUCUCUCCCUCAGCACACCCAGAAAGAACCGCCCUGCUGCAACACCUUGAUUUCAGACUUCUCGGCUCCAGAAAUGGGAAAUAAUGAAUUUCUGUUAUUUUAAGUAAAACUUGACCAAGUCAGCCCUAUGGGAAACGAACGCAGAGGCUAAUGUCAGUGAGUCCUCCCUUGAGGGGCUGGAGGGGGAGGGGCUCAGCACCUUCCUAGCUGCACUGAUGGGCAUCUAGGGAACCACAUGUCGCUGGCUUGAUGCCAGUGGUUCUGUGAAGGAAAUGAACAUUGGUGGGCUCAUUUUGCUGAAAAGCUGAGGGACAGAGUAAACAUGGCCUGUCCAAAGCAUCACUCUCUGAAGAAAAGACAAGAACACAGGAGUCAGUUCAUGUACCCAUUCAUUCAUUCACUCACUCACUCACUCGCUGACCACCCCAUCACGGAGCCCUACCAUGCAUUCCCAGAACACACAAGUACAUGAGACCAGAGCAGCCUGGCCCUGUCCUCAGGGAGCCUGAGCCAGUGCUCUGCUCAUCAAUGAGGAAGCAGGCCCAUGGGCGCUAAGAUUUCUCCAAUCUGGACAUUUGGUGACUUAGAGGGAGGCAGAAGGGCAGCCCCAGGGACCACUGUGCUGCCACUGGGGCAUUUUCGGUGGUCACAGCUGUUAAGAGGCAGGGUUGAGGAAGGGCUGAGGGGCUACACACCCAUGAGGAUGUGGAGCCGGCCCUCUGCUCCCCUGGGGCAUCUGGUGAAGCACACUUUACUGGAGAGCUGGGGGGAUCAGUGACAAAAAGCGGCCCGCCGCAGGACACCACGGGAAGUGAGAUGGGCUCAGCGGCCACUGAUAAUUGUACAAAACUGAAAAUCUCUAGAAUAUUUCCAGUCCUUUGCUCUUAUCAAACAUCACAUGGGAAACACUGGCAAGUUGUGCGGGACCCUUUCCAGAAGGAAGGGAACUUCACCCGUAUGGCCUUUUGCAGGGAGAGUUUCUUGGAGUUUCAGCCUGCGAGUGGGCUGGGCUUCCUGUUCUGGGUUCACCCCACCUCCAGCCACUCUCUUGUGCACCUGGACUCGCCAUGAAAGGCGGCUUUCUAGAUGGACUCUCCAGCCAGGAGACAUCUCUGCUUCUCAGGCUCUCUGGUUUUCCCUUCACAUUUUUGAGAGUUACAUGACACCCCGCAGCCAGCAAUCAUGGAGGACUAAGAAAUACAAAGUUCAGGGCCUGAGGCCACUACGGCCUCCACUGUGGUUUUUCUGGAGCUCCAUUUCAUUUGGGGUAGAGGUGAAUGCUUCCCUCCAGAGACCCCAGCAGGCAGGGGCUGAAGAAAGUUGAAGGAACAGUUGCUUCCUCCAUGGUAGGGUAUUCUUUGGCAUGGAUGCAGCCUGACAGCAAGGGGACAGGCGGCCCAGGACAGCCACAGGGCUGGACACAAUGAGGAGCGGCUGGAGGCGAGACACAUGUGCCAUGGGCUCCCUCUCAGUCUUCGGGACAGCCUGACAACAGCAGUAAUCAUUAGCUCCGCAACUGCUUUCACUGUAAGUCCAUGUUGACUGACACUUACACAGAAUUAAAACACAACAACAGUUUGCAGUUAACUUGGCCUUUUAUGACCUCACAGACUUUUAUGAGGAAGUCUUGGGUUGCCUUAUUUUCAAAGGGAAGCCAGCAGGUAUGAUGGGGACCCCAAGAAAGAGCUGAGAGCAGACCCCAAAUCAAAAAGCAGAGGCCAGCUGUUCAAGGUUCACCUCUUCUAAAGACUACAAAAAUGGCAGCUACCAUAUUCCAGUCUCUGUACCAUGUUCCUUCAGCUUUGCAAAAUCAGUGCAGCAUUUAUGGAGACGUCAAGGUCCCUGCAGACCCUCGUGGUUUGUCCAUCCCUGUGUUCCCUUACAUGAGCUUGGAAAGCAGGAGGCACUGUAGUGACGGAACACACCAACCCCAAACAAAGGAAAGCCGGUUAAAACUCCAACCCCCAGGACAACGAGAGAAUCCUACUGUCUCUCAAGGAAACUCACAGACAGCGAAAGAAAUGAAAUCCAGACUCGAUACUACUUGCUUGUGGGGAACCGCCAAGGGGCUAUUUAUCCAUUAUGAAAGUUACAUGUUGUAUCUCCUCUUCCUGGAACGCCCCUGUCCCCAGACCUGACCUCGCCAGACCACAUUCAUUCAGUUCCUUCACUCACAGUGAUCUGUUCUACAUGAGACAGCUUGGUCCCUCUAGGGGCACUGUGGAUCUUUAUUUCACAUGUGGGUAGCUGGAAUGAAAAGCUACCACUGUUGGCUCUGGGAUUCAUGGUCAGGGGACUGUAAGUCCCCCAGAAAAAAAAACUGAAAUGGCAAGAGGACGGACUGAAGCUGGAUCUCCUGGGAAAUAAAGGAUUUUGAUGUUCCCUGAGAAAUCAUCUCUGUGCCUCUAACAUUGACUAGGGUAGGAGCCUUCUGGUACCAGGCCAAGCCCCACAUCAGCCCUUUAUAAUAGGUUAGAUUAUCUCUGCUGUAAAGGGGAGGAAGCUGAAGCUCAGAGAGGGAGCUUAACUUACCUAAAGUCACGUAUUACUAAGUGACAAAGCUGGCAUUAGAAUCCACAAGGCUGGGCUGGGUGUGGUGGCUUACACCUAUAAUCCCAGCACUUUGGGAGGCUGAGGUGGGUGGAUCACCUGAGGUCAGGAGUUUGAAGCCAGCCUGGCCAACAUGGUGAAACCCCAUCUCUACUAAAAAUACAAAAAUUAGCUGAGUGUGGUGGCGGGCAUCUGUAAUCCUAGCUACUCAGGAGGAGUAGCAGGAGAAUUGCUUGAACCUGGGAGGCAGAGGUUGCGGUGAGCCGAGAUCAAGCCACUGCACUCCAGCCUGGGCGACAGAGCAAGACUCCGUCUCAAAAAAAAAAAAAAAAGAAUCCACAAGGCUGGAGAUGAAAGCACCCACACGUUCUUUCCUGUGCUUCACGCUGCCUCAAACUCCCAUGUGCCUGUGUCCGCUGGCCGUCUUGUUAAAACCCAAUCUCUGAUUCAGUCAGGCCUGAGAUUCUGCUUCUGUAAGAAGGUUCCAGGCCUGCACCUUGAGGGGCGAGGAUCUAUACCUGCUGCCUUUUUAAAUGCAUUCUGCCUGCCAUUUGGGCUGGUAUUUCUUUGCCCCUUCAAUGUAGUUUUUCCACCAGAAUGCCAAAACUGACCAAAAACCACACUGCAGCCCAGUCAGCUAUGCUAUGUACCCAAUUAUUGUAACUCUUACUCUUCCCUAUGACUUGGCUGAGUGUUAAAAACCCAACAUUAGCCUUGGGUAACAAAGGCUGGCAGAGGCCUGCCUCAGUGCCGCUCAGAAGCUAUGGAGGAGGAAGCUGCUCUGCGGGGCUGGGGUAGGACUCAAUAUGGUUCUGGAUCUCGGGGGGAUGGAUGUGAUGAAAUCUCUCUCAUAUGGCCUCUCCCACAAGCUGACGGGAAUUUCCUGCUCAGACCAGAGAAAUUAGGGUUUGCUCCUCCAGGGCCAAGCUCAGUGGGAAAAGUAAGAAUAAGCAAGAAAGCAAGGGUCUGGCUUUGUGUGAGCCCCGCUGUCUCGGGUUCCUGGUUCUGCUCCAUUUGUAGCUGGGGGAGGGAUCUUCUCCAGUUCAUAGUUACAACCUGAGAUUCUGCAUUUUCCCAGGGCUUGCUCAAAGGUUCUGCGUACAAAUCUUUCAGAAGGGCUGGGGUGAUCUGCAUUCCACGGAAAGGAGGGGCUGGGAAAGGCUGGGGCUCAGGUUUGUUUUCCAGCACAAAGACAAGCUAGAAAGACAACCAGAAAACCCAACCCCAACCUCUGCAGUGCCCUGACCACUCUCCCUGUCCUUUGCGUUGACAGAGGGGUUCCUUCUUUCAAGACACUACUGAGGGCCCCUUAUGUGCAGGCGCUGUGCUGGAUAUUGACACAUAGCAGAGAGCAGGAUUCCUGGCUUCCAGCCCCCAGAGCUCGAAAGCUGGAAGGAGCCAACUUUUUUUUUUUUUUUUUUUGAGAUGGAGUUUUGCUCUUGUCGCCUAGGCAGGAGUGCAAUGGCGUGAUCUUGGCUCAUUGCAACCUCCACCUCCCAGGUUCAAGUGAUUCUCCUGCCGCAGCCUCCCAAGUAGCUGGGAUUACAGGCGCCUACCACCAUGCCCAGCUAAUUUUUGUAGUUUUAGUGGAGAUGAGUUUUCACCACGUUGGCCAGGCUGGCUUCAAACUCCUGACCUCAGGUGAUCCACCUGCCUCAGCUUCCCAAAGUGCUGGGAUUACAGGCAUGAACCACCACCACCGUGCCCUGGCCAUGGAAAAUGCCAACUUUUAAAGGGGUAACUGAAUUUCCAUGAGGUACAUGCUGAGAAUGGGAGUGUCUGUGAAGCCAAGUUACAUGUUCUGUGCACAUUACCUACCUGGCUGUGUUGAUCAUGACACCUGGCCCUCCCGUUUGGGCCCAACAUGGGUCUCCCUUUACUCCCUGGCCUGCCCCUACCUCCCGUGACAUCACCCUUUAGAAUCCACUGGACACCUUGGUUAAAACCAGAGAAACACAUGGGCUUGUACAUCCAUGGGCAUCUGGAACCGAUCGGCACAAGGGCUGGUGAGGUUGUUCUUUGGGAGUUGUGCAAAUGUUUGCCUUGGUCAAAAAUAAAGGUGUGUGGAGGGGAAAGGUCAGGUCAGGCAGGGAGGAGACAAGAAUUGAGCGGGGGGUGCACCAUGGAAGAAGACCGAGCUGGGGAGUUGCUACAGGUCCAUCUGGUUACCCGGGGCUCAGGACUGCCCAGCUUUGAACAGUCCUCAGGACGAAUCACUGCCCCCGGAACAGGACUAUCACAGCUCUGCCUCUCCACACCAGCCUCAGAGAGUUCUGAUUGCAGUUUGUCACACCCACCCCCAUCUUUAAUUAUCUUCUCUUCCAUAGGCUGGGAGGUAAUGGGGGUAAGGGGAGCUGGAGGAAGACUGAUUGCAGCUGAUUCACUGUGAAACGAAAAGCGUAAUGUGCCGUGGAUGUUUUGCAGGGCCUUGAUGAGAUCUGCAGCAGAUGAGCUGUUGCCCUGGCAACGCUAAUGAAAAGCAGGCCUCAAAGAGGUCCAAGAACCCCCGUGGGCUGAGUUAUCUCCCCCCUUUGCAGCUCUCCUUGCCUCCCCACCAGCAGCCUCAGAUCAAACUUCCCGAAUAUUUAUAAAAUCUCUACCAGAAACAGAGAAACUCAGCCGCCCAGCCAGGCGUCUGCCCACGUCUUUCCGGAGCUGCUCGGGUGACACUCUC